GGGUUGUGAGGUUAAGCGACUAAGCGUACACGGUGGAUGCCCUGGCAGUCAGAGGCGAUGAAGGACGUGCUAAUCUGCGAUAAGCGUCGGUAAGGUGAUAUGAACCGUUAUAACCGGCGAUUUCCGAAUGGGGAAACCCAGUGUGAUUCGUCACACUAUCAUUAACUGAAUCCAUAGGUUAAUGAGGCGAACCGGGGGAACUGAAACAUCUAAGUACCCCGAGGAAAAGAAAUCAACCGAGAUUCCCCCAGUAGCGGCGAGCGAACGGGGAGCAGCCCAGAGCCUGAAUCAGUGUGUGUGUUAGUGGAAGCGUCUGGAAAGGCGCGCGAUACAGGGUGACAGCCCCGUACACAAAAAUGCACAUGCUGUGAGCUCGAUGAGUAGGGCGGGACACGUGGUAUCCUGUCUGAAUAUGGGGGGACCAUCCUCCAAGGCUAAAUACUCCUGACUGACCGAUAGUGAACCAGUACCGUGAGGGAAAGGCGAAAAGAACCCCGGCGAGGGGAGUGAAAAAGAACCUGAAACCGUGUAC
rnacentral:rRNA from 1 species